rnacentral:pre_miRNA from 1 species
UGAACAUCCUGCAUAGUGCUGCCAGGAAACCCCUAUUUCAUAAUAAGAGGGGGCAGGCUGGUUGCAUAUGUAGGAUGUCCC